rnacentral:snRNA from 1 species
CUGCUUGCUUGGGCAGCACAUAUACUAAAACUAAAACAAUACAGAUGAGUAUUGCCCCUCUAUAAGAAUGACACACAAUUCAUGAAAUGCUUCAUAUUUUU